rnacentral:rRNA from 1 species
UAGGGAAUUUUCCACAAUGGACGAAAGUCUGAUGGAGCAACGCCGCGUGCAGGAUGAAUGCCUUAGGGUUGUAAACUGCUUUUAUAUGUGACGAAUAUGACGGUAGCAUAUGAAUAAGGAUCGGCUAACUCCGUGCCAGCAGCCGCGGUCAUACGGAGGAUCCAAGCGUUAUCCGGAAUUACUGGGCGUAAAGAGUUGCGUAGGUGGCAUAGUAAGUAGAUAGUGAAAGCGUGGGGCUCAACCUCAUAUCCAUUAUCUAAACUGCUAAGCUAGAGGGCGAGAGAGGUAACUAGAAUUCCUUGUGUAGGAGUGAAAUCCGUAGAUAUAAGGAGGAAUACCGAUGGCGUAGGCAGGUUACUGGCUCGUCCCUGACACUAAGGCACGAAAGCGUGGGUAGCAAACGGG